rnacentral:rRNA from 1 species
CUGUCGCUGGCUAGGUCAUUCUAGCAUGUGCACGUCUACUCUUUUAAACACACUUGUGAACCAUGUAGAUCGAGUCCAUCGAAAAGUAGCAUCAAACUACCUAAUAGAGGGCUGAUUGGCUUAUUGAAAAGUAUGAGGCUUAUUGAAAAGUAGUGUGAACUACCUAAUAGAAAGCUUAGUACCUAAUAGAGGGCUGGUCGGCUUAUCGAAAAGUGGUAAGAACUACCUAAUAGAGGGCUGAGUUGGCUCAUUGAAACGUAGUUGGCUAAGUAUGAGGCUUAUUGAAAAGUAGUGUGAACUACCUAAUAGAAAGCUUAGUACUCUAGUUGGUUGGCUUAUCGAAAAGUAUGAGGCUUAUUGAAAAGUAGUGUAAACUACCUAAUAGAAAGCUGAGUACCUAAUAGAGGGCUACUCCUAGUUGGCUUAUUGAAAAGUACGGCUUAUUGAAAAGUGGUGUGAACUACCUAAUAGAAAGCUUAGUACCUAAUAGAGGGCUAGUUGGCUUAACUACCUAAUAGAGGGCCCCAGAAGAUCUAUGUUUAAUCUACACCACAUCGUAUGUCCAGAAAAUAUAAAUAAAUUACAACUUUCAGCAAUGGAUCUCUUGGUUCUCGCAUCGAUGAAGAACGCAGCGAAUCGCGAUAAGUAAUGUGAAUUGCAGAUUUUCAGUGAAUCAUCGAAUCUUUGAACGCACCUUGCGCCCCUUGGUAUUCCGAGGGGCAUGCCUGUUUGAGUGUCAUUUUAUCAUCAACUCAUUAGUCUUUGAUUAGGCUUUUGGGCUUGGACUUGGGAAUUGCUGGCUUGAUCUUUACUCAUUGAAAAGUAUCUAAUACUUAAUAGAGGGUAGAGUGUAGUCGGCUGUCCUUAAAUGCAUUAGCGAGUGUUAGUCUACAUGGCACGGCCUCUUGACGUGAUAAUGAUCGUCGUGGGCUGGAAGUGUAGUGUCUGGCUUCUAAUCGUUGAUUGCGUGCAUACGGCCCAUAAAGCUGGAAGCGCAACAAAAUACGACUGCGUGCAUACGGCCCUUAAAGCUGGAAGCGUAGU